AAGUCGUAACAAGGUUUCCGUAGGUGAACCUGCGGAAGGAUCAUUACCAAAUCCAAAUACCCAACCCCAUGUGAACCCGUUUUUGUCUGUCUUUGGGGGAAAGGAUUGUGAGUUGCAGGUUGGCUUUUUGCCCACUUGUUGUCUUAUGUUUUUUCCCCCAAAUGAACCUAGCGCCUUGCGGUGCUUUUAUGGUUCAACUGACUAAACAACUUUUAAAUUCUUCGUUGGAAUACAUCUUUAUUAAUUAUAAUAAAGGACAACUUUUAACGGUGGAUCUCUUGGCUCGUG
rnacentral:misc_RNA from 1 species